rnacentral:lncRNA from 10 species
CGUUUUUUUAAGCCCGCCGGAAAAGCGCAGUAUUCGGGUGGGAGUGACCCGAUUUUCCAGGUGCCGUCCGUCACCCCUUUCUUUGACUCGGAAAGGGAACUCCCUGACCCCUUGCGCUUUCUGAGUGAGGCAGUGCCUCGCCCUGCUUCGGCUCGCACACGGUGCGCGCACCCACUGACCUGCGCCCACUGUCUGGCACUCCCUAGUGAGAUGAACCCGGUACCUCAGAUGGAAAUGCAGAAAUCACCCGUCUUCUGCGUCGCUCACGGUGGGAGCUGUAGACUGGAGCUGUUCCUAUUCGGCCAUCUUGGCUCCUCCGCAUUUGUUUUUAUGGUGGUUUUGUAUUGUUUUUAUAGAGCUGCCCUCACAUGCUUCAGCAACAUUAGAUGGUA